rnacentral:rRNA from 1 species
CUCGUAGGCGGUUUGUCGCGUCUGCCGUGAAAGUCCGGGGCUCAACUCCGGAUCUGCGGUGGGUACGGGCAGACUAGAGUGAUGUAGGGGAGACUGGAAUUCCUGGUGUAGCGGUGAAAUGCGCAGAUAUCAGGAGGAACACCGAUGGCAAAGGCAGGUCUCUGGGCAUUAACUGACGCUGAGGAGCGAAAGCAUGGGAGCGAACA